rnacentral:rRNA from 1 species
CCUACGGGGGGCAGCAGUGAGGAAUAUUGGUCAAUGGCCGGAAGGCUGAACCAGCCAUGCCGCGUGAAGGUCAGUGCCCUAUGGGCGUUAAACUUCUUUUGUGCGGGAGCAAUAAUGGUCACGUGUGGCCAGACGAGAGUACCGUACGAAUAAGCAUCGGCUAACUCCGUGCCAGCAGCCGCGGUAAUACGGGGGAUGCAAGCGUUAUCCGGAUUUAUUGGGUUUAAAGGGUGCGUAGGCUGUGAGGUAAGUCAGCGGUGAAAUGCCCCCGCUCAACGGGGUGAAGUGCCAUUGAUACUGCCUGGCUGGAAUGCGGAUGCCGUGGGAGGAAUGUGUGGUGUAGCGGUGAAAUGCAUAGAUAUCACACAGAACACCGAUUGUGAAGGCAUCUCACGAAUCCGCGAUUGACGCUGAUGCACGAAAGCGUGGGUAUCAAACAGGAUUAGAUACCCCAGUAGUC